UCCGUUUUCUGCCUUCUCUGAGAAUACACAGCCUCCGUCCUGGUGUUGAAAUGCAGCGACUCCGUUCAAAAACGCAGCCAGAAAAACUAUUUCAUAAUUCAACGUGUCAACUGGGAAGAAAUUGCAGUUUUCUUCUCUGAUGCACAGAUUUUACGACACGCUACUUUGGGUUUGCGGCAGAGAAAUAAGCAUGCGUUUCUAGGUAACGUCACAUGUUGCUUUUAAUGCUGUGGGAAAGGAAGCCGUCGCUUCUGUGCAUGAAUGGCAGCAAUCAGAGGAAGUGGUUUUGAGGGCUACGUCUGCAGUAUAUGAGGCUCCAGUUGGUGACGCUGAGUGGCAGGUCCUUAACUGCGUGAUUGCCAAUGUGAAGCUCAGGAAUUUCCUUACGCUGACUUUCCUGCAUGGCAAAGGCACAGGACUGAUUCCUUCCCUGCUGAAACAGCAAAUCCUUCAGACAGACAGGAGUUUGGUGAAUCAAGGUGUGGAGAGGCAGACAGAGUCGGUGUGAGCGGCAGUGUAGCGAGGCCAGUCGGGGAGAGAUAAGAAUACAAUAUGAUGACCUGUCAACCGUCACGCUGCGUGUGGGGGAUAUUCCCGAGUUCACUCAGGAGUUAAUCACCGUUGCAGAGAAAUAAGUCUGUCCUGCAGUUUCUUUGCUGUGAUGAAGAGCUACAGAUAUCAAGCUGCAGACAGAGGAGGAAAUGGGGAAUGACGCGCAGCAAGUGGUCCGGCUGACUGGGAAUGGAACUGAGGAUCUGACAUUCAGGACAUAUGUGCCCAUAUGGUAUGUGCCCUAACCACUCCGCUAUCGGGUCAAAGCUUUUUAACCAUUUGUUCUCUCUUUAAAUGUCACUUAA